UACGUAGGUGGCAAGCGUUGUCCGGAAUUAUUGGGCGUAAAGCGCGCGCAGGCGGCCUCUUAAGUCUGAUGUGAAAGCCCCCGGCUCAACCGGGGAGGGCCAUUGGAAACUGGGAGGCUUGAGUAUAGGAGAGAAGAGUGGAAUUCCACGUGUAGCGGUGAAAUGCGUAGAGAUGUGGAGGAACACCAGUGGCGAAGGCGACUCUUUGGCCUAUAACUGACGCUGAGGCGCGAAAGCUAGGGGAGCAAACAGG
rnacentral:rRNA from 1 species